rnacentral:rRNA from 1 species
CCUACGGGAGGCAGCAGUGAGGAAUAUUGGUCAAUGGACGAGAGUCUGAACCAGCCAAGUAGCGUGAAGGAUGACUGCCCUAGGGGUUGUAAACUUCUUUUAUAUGGGAAUAAAAUGUUCCACGUGUGGGAUUUUGUAUGUACCAUAUGACUCAGGAUCGGCUAACUCCGUGCCAGCAGCCGCGGUAAUACGGAGGAUCCGAGCGUUAUCCGGAUUUAUUGGGUUUAAAGGGAGCGUAGGUGGAUUGUUAAGUCAGUUGUGAAAGUUUUCGGCUCAACCGUAAAAUUGCAGUUGAAACUGGCAGUCUUGAGGACAGUAGAGGUCGGCGGAAUUCGUGGUGUAGCGGUGAAAUGCUUAGAUAUCACGAAGAACUCCGAUUGCGAAGGCAGCUGACUGGACUGCAACUGACACUGAGGCUCGAAAGUGUGGGUAGCAAACAGGAUUAGAUACCCUUGUAGUC